UACGUAGGUGGCAAGCGUUGUCCGGAUUACUGGGCGUAAAGAGCGCGCAGGCGGUCGUUCAAGUCGCGUGUGAAAGCCCCCGGCUCAACUGGGGAGGUCACGCGAUACUGAUCGACUCGAAGGCAGGAGAGGGUAGUGGAAUUCCCGUGUAGUGGUGAAAUGCGUAGAUAUCGGGAGGAACACCAGUGGCGAAGGCAGGUCGUCUGGGCAUUAACUGACGCUGAGGAGCGAAAAGCAUGGGGAGGCCGAACGAGGAAUGAUAAA
rnacentral:rRNA from 1 species